rnacentral:tRNA from 1 species
UAGGAAAUGGUGUAGUGGAGGCACUAAGGGUUUUGAUCCCUUCAGUAGAGGCUCGAAUCCUCUUUUUCUAA